rnacentral:piRNA from 1 species
UCCUGGUGAUGGUUCAUGCAAGUCUGCUUU